rnacentral:rRNA from 1 species
AACUGAGACACGGUCCAUACUCCUACGGGAGGCAGCAGUGGGGAAUAUUGGACAAUGGGCGAAAGCCUGAUCCAGCCAUGCCGCGUGUGUGAAGAAGGCCUUUUGGUUGUAAAGCACUUUAAGCGAGGAGGAGGCUACUUGGAUUAAUACUCUAGGAUAGUGGACGUUACUCGCAGAAUAAGCACCGGCUAACUCUGUGCCAGCAGCCGCGGUAAUACAGAGGGUGCGAGCGUUAAUCGGAUUUACUGGGCGUAAAGCGUGCGUAGGCGGCUUUUUAAGUCGGAUGUGAAAUCCCUGAGC